GACGAACGCUGGCGGCGUGCUUAACACAUGCAAGUCGAGCGGUAAGGCCCUUUCGGGGGUACACCGAGCGGCGAACGGGUGAGUAACACGUGGGGUGACCUGCCCUCAGCUCUGGGAUAAGCCUGGGAAACCGGGUCUAAUACCGGAUAUGACUCCAUGACGCAUGUUGUGGGGUGGAAAGCCUUGUGCGGCUGAGGAUGGGCCCGCGGCCUAUCAGCUUGUUGGUGGGGUNAUGGCCUACCAAGGCGACGACGGGUAGCCGGCCUGGGAGGGCGACCGGCCACACUGGGACUGAGACACGGCCCAGACUCCUACGGGAGGCAGCAGGUGGGGAAUCUUGCGCAAUGGGCGAAAGCCUGACGCAGCGACGCCGCGUGAGGGAUGACGGCCU
rnacentral:rRNA from 1 species